CAAAACGACUCUCGGCAACGGAUAUCUCGGCUCUUGCAUCGAUGAAGAACGUAGCGAAAUGCGAUACGUGGUGUGAAUUGCAGAAUCCCGUGAACCAUCGAGUUCUUGAACGCAAGUUGCGCCCAAAGCCUUUUGGUUGAGGGCACGUCUGCCUGGG
rnacentral:rRNA from 1 species